rnacentral:tRNA from 1 species
GGGGAUAUAGCCCAGUUGGUAAAGUGCUUGCCUCACAUGCAUAAGGCCCUGGGUUCAAUUCCGAGCACUCCCC